UCGCUUCGGCAGCACAUAUACUAAAAUUGGAGUGACACAAAGAAGAUUAGCAUGGCCCCUGCACAAGGAUGACGUGCAAAUUCGCGAAGCAUUCCAUAUUUAA
ensembl:snRNA U6 U6 spliceosomal RNA